UUUCCGUAGGUGAACCUGCGGAAGGAUCAUUCAUAAUAAGUGUUUUAUGGCACUUUUUUAAAUCCAUAUCCACCUUGUGUGCAAUGUCAGGGUUGAUUUUUCUCUCGAGAGGAUCAACCCCAAACAUCAACUAUAUCUCAACUCUUUGUCUGAAAAAUAUUAUGAAUAAAACAAUACAAAAUACAACUUUCAACAACGGAUCUCUUGGCUCUC
rnacentral:misc_RNA from 1 species